GACGAAGGGGGCUAGCGUUGCUCGGAAUCACUGGGCGUAAAGCGCACGUAGGCGGAUUUUUAAGUCAGGGGUGAAAUCCUGGAGCUCAACUCCAGAACUGCCUUUGAUACUGGGAAUCUCGAGUCCGGAAGAGGUGAGUGGAACUGCGAGUGUAGAGGUGAAAUUCGUAGAUAUUCGCAAGAACACCAGUGGCGAAGGCGGCUCACUGGCCCGAUACUGACGCUGAGGCACGAAAGCGUGGGGAGCAAACAGG
rnacentral:rRNA from 1 species